UCAUCUUCAGAUACGGAGUCCUUCACACAGCCUCUCCAUAUUCAGCAGCCUUCCUUUUUAUAUCUUGCGUGGACUGUAAGGUAAGAUGCCCUUUUUACCCCCUCUAAUUCGUUUUGUUUUCUUUCCACCCUGAAAAUUUCCCAGACCCUCUGAAAAGGAGGGGGGAUCAUUAUUCUCUGAGAGAGAAGCUGAGUGCCGUCUUGGUGAAGACAAUGUCUGGAAUAUUUGUGGGAUUGAUAGUAAUGAUACACACCACCCCUUUCUCCACAGCAGUGUGAGAUUCCAGGGGUUCUAGGAGCUUCCCCAUGGUUUGUGUUUCCUGUUGGAAAUGAGGAACAGCAGAGAGUGUAGUGUCUUCAUGAUAUAUGGUUUAUUUACACAUAUAUACAGCCUGAACCUAGAGGGAGGAGGUGCUGAAUAUUCACAUCCCAAGAGGGUCCUGUUCCUUACAUUGCUGUAGCCUCAGAUUUUAAGAUUAUCUGACCCUCUCUGCAGCAUAAAACAGACUGCCCGCCUCAUGCUCUGGCCCCCUCCAGCUUGCAGAAGUGACACUCUCCCCCUCCCCCGUUCACUUACCUCAUUGCCCACUGAUUUUCUGCCCCUCCCUCCUGAAACUCUGGCCUUUUGUCUCUGCUAACUAUCUCUCACCUCAGUGAGGGGCUUUCCCCAUUUUCUGUCCAGCCUGGAGUCUCUGUUAAUGGCAUUGUUAAUAGGUUAAUGACUGGCCAUCAUCAGCCUUGGUUACCUCUGCUGAGCUGGCCUGGCUCAUUAGCAUAAACUAAAUCCAGGGAUUUCUGUGUUUGGCACAGUUUAAUCAAACUUUGAUUAAUUCAAAUUUUUACAAUUCCAGGAUUUUGAGUUGAUUUGCACCCACAGAUUCUGGCCCUAAAACUUAUAACAGUAUUUAUUUAUCUACUUUAAGAGCCUUGUUGUAGAUGUAGUGAAAUUCAUUUGAAUACAUACACACUAAUAGAGCGUGGUAUUUGGAAUAGAUCUGAGGUUCCAUGAAAUGUGGAUUUCUGUUUUUAAAGCAGCAACCAAAAAUUGUAAAUGUAAAGCUGUUGUCAUGCUGCAGUUUGUAUGGCCACCAGUAGGCGGCUACGGGGGGCAGGCAGCUUAGGCGAACUGUUUAGUGGAUUGGGAAGAGGCGCUUAACUAUGGUUCUUCUGUUUUGACUGCUCUGAAGACCCUAAAGAGGCUGGGAAAGUGACUUCCAUUUGGUGAGAGUGACAGUGCUUUGAGCAUCUGAGAUGGCUGCUGCUAAGAGGCAGCAUGGGACAGGCAAGGGAGCCCCAGCGGGAAUGAAGAGAAGAUGCACUAAGAUUGCAUUGGCAAGAAGUAAUGAGGGAAAGGAGAAGCAAGACCCGUCCUCUGUGGCCCAUUUGGGGCAGGAUAUGUACCUUGCCCAGACCAUUAUCUCACAGGUGGGCAUACUGGGAAAAGAAUGCCAAUGGGUUACUGUUUCCCUGCUCUCCUUGCAGAUUCUGACUUAACCUGGGAGAUGGCAGUGAUCCCUGUGGCACAUGCUGAACAAAGUGCUUCUGAGCAUUUGCAGAGUCUUGCAACCCAGUCCUAAUCAUGUUUGCUUAAAGAGGG
rnacentral:lncRNA from 1 species